CAAAAUACUUUGGCAUUGUCAUAUCUCUAUUCAAAAUCUCUUAUGAAGUAAAUUAUGAGGUCCGAUGAUGCAAUAACACUGAUGAAAUAUGCUGCAGUAGUAUUUUUGAUUUGUGCUGGUCUCAGAAUAAUACGAUGAUAAUAUAUUAUUUCUAUCCAAAAAGGCAGAAGAAUAUUAUAAAAAAGCUGUGGCACUUGAAAGUACUGAUGAUGUAUCUGAUAAAUGCGAAGCAAAUAUACCUAUCAAACUUGGAAUCAUUGAUGUGAUAUGAUGUGAUAUUAUGGUUGUAAAUACAUGAAGCAAUAAAACUAAAUGAUAGUAUUAAAUAAUAAAAAUGAUGAAAUUAUG